CGUCGUUUGGGCCGACCUCAGAGCAGGUGAGACCAC
rnacentral:rRNA from 1 species